rnacentral:rRNA from 1 species
CACGGGGGGAGCAAGCGUUGUUCGGAAUCACUGGGCGUAAAGGGUGUCUAGGCGGUCAGGUAAGUGAGAUGUGAAAUGCCCCGGCUUACCCGGGGACCUGCAUCUCAUACUGUCUGGCUUGAGGACUGGAGAGGAGACUGGAAUUUACGGUGUAGCGGUGAAAUGCGUAGAUAUCGUAAGGAAGACCAGUGGCGAAGGCGGGUCUCUGGACAGUUCCUGACGCUGAGGCACGAAGGCCAGGGGAGCAAACGGG